rnacentral:rRNA from 1 species
CUCUUAAAAUAUUUUAAGUAAUCUCUGCCCAAUGAGUUUUAAAUGGCCGCAGUAUCUUGACUGUGCAAAGGUAGCAUAAUCAUUUGUUUUUUAAUUGAAAACUGGAAUGAAAGAGUCGACGAAAGAUAAUCUUUUGGUAUAAUAUAUAAAAUUUACAUAAAGGUAAAAAGGCCUUUAUUUACCAGGGGGACGAUAAGACCCUAUAAAACUUUACUUUUAAUAAGAAGCUUAUAAGAUUAGUUUUGUAUUUAAGGUUAAACUGGGGCGGUACUUAUAAAAACAAUAAAAUCAAUAAUACUUAAAGUAAAAUGUGAGAGCUCAAGUAAGAAAGUUUGAAUAAGUUACUUUAGGGAUAACAGCAUAAUUUUCUUUGAGAGUCCUCAUCGGCAAGGGAGAUUAUGACCUCGAUGUUGAAUUGAAAA